CCCAGUCAUACCUAACUCUUUGAACUGCCAAUCUAUGUUAUCUUACUGCCUUUAUGACUUACUCCCUUAUAUGUCUCACGUACAACUCGACCGCACUUAGACACAGAGCACAGCAUGCCUGACUACACUCUAGGACCACACACACUGCACCAGUUGUAGUCAUACAUCAUUACUACCACCGACCCACCACAACGACACAACGGCUUUGGCACCCCAAUCAACACACAUAGCUGUAAGACAUUGUGACACUGUGUACCUCUCCCAGCCACAUGAAACGGCUAUUAAGCGACAUAUCCCUCUUCAAUAACACAGUCAGUUGACAAACCUAAUGACUGCACUAA